GACGAACGCUGGCGGCGUGCCUAAUACAUGCAAGUAGAACGUUGAAGCUUGGUGCUUGCACCGAGCGGAUGAGUUGCGAACGGGUGAGUAACGCGUAGGUAACCUGCCUGGUAGCGGGGGAUAACUAUUGGAAACGAUAGCUAAUACCGCAUAAUAGUAGAUGUUGCAUGACAUUUGCUUAAAAGGUGCAAUUGCAUCACUACCAGAUGGACCUGCGUUGUAUUAGCUAGUUGGUGAGGUAACGGCUCACCAAGGCAACGAUACAUAGCCGACCUGAGAGGGUGAUCGGCCACACUGGGACUGAGACACGGCCCAGACUCCUACGGGAGGCAGCAGUAGGGAAUCUUCGGCAAUGGACGGAAGUCUGACCGAGCAACGCCGCGUGAGUGAAGAAGGUUUUCGGAUCGUAAAGCUCUGUUGUAAGAGAAGAACGAGUGUGAGAGUGGAAAGUCACACUGUGA
rnacentral:rRNA from 1 species